UCCUAAAUCCUCAAUUCCAGAAUGCAGGACUUAGCUCUUCUCUGCAAUGGUGAGUGCUGAAAACGGGUUUGCCGGUGGGUGCAAUCGAUUCGUCGAUGGGUGCAACAAGCUGAGGUCGGGUUGUUUCCACAUGAGACACUCCAAAUUCUCACGAAUGCCAUGGAAACCUUGCCCAUUCAAUACACUUCACCCCAACAUGAACAACUCAUAUUGAGCAGAAAUCUUGCUAGUCCAGGUAAGACCGGACUGGGAAUCUGUCAAGAUUGACGUCAUUACAAGGCCUUAAAAUGCAAGUUCACGACGUACCCAUAUUUAAACUCUUUGUUGCUCUCAACGGUGGCCUCUGUUCUUGUGUAGAGGGUUCACCACAUGAUCUAUUCUGGGGAGGAGGUCGAGACGGAGAAGGUCUUAACUAUCUUGGACGAUUGCUAAUGAAGUUGAGAUCUGAGCUCUUAGAUGACUCUUCAACAACUCAAAAAUCUUUGUUUCCUCAAACAUCAGAAAUAAUUAGUAGUGAUGUUUCUCAUUUCUGUCCUAACAAUGUUAGGCUAAUGUUGUAAUCUACCAAUAAAACCAAGCCUC